GCGUUUUUCCCAUCUCUGUCUCUCAGGUGAAGUCUCCGGAUGAGCAGCAUGUGGUGGGGAUGAUAAAGAAGGAGACUGAUCAUCUUCUGCUUACUUUCCCAUUGGACCUGGAGGUGACAAUGAAGGCCAUGUUGUUGGGCUCCUCCUUGUACCUGGAAAAUCUCAUUAAAUCAAAGAGAAAGGAACUGCAGAGACGAGCACGUGACUGAUACUCCUGCAGCACAUCUCACCAAUAUCCCAUGUAUGCAGCCACAUGUAUCUGAGCACCUUCUCCGCAGAGCAUCAUAUAUCAUCCUCAGCAUUGCAGAGCAUCACACCCAGCAUUACCAGGGAAAUGCUCCUCAUACUAAACACUAAUACU